rnacentral:rRNA from 1 species
CACCGCGGUUAUACGAGAGACCCAAGUUGUUCAACAACGGCGUAAAGAGUGGUUAAGAUUUAAGUCUACAUUAAAGCCGAACGCCCCCAGAGCUGUUAUACGCAUCCGGAGGUAUGAAGUUCAAUUACGAAAGUGGCUUUAUAACAUCUGAACCCACGAAAGCUACGGCA